UACGGAGGGGGCUAGCGUUGUUCGGAAUUACUGGGCGUAAAGCGCGCGUAGGCGGCUUUGUAAGUUAGAGGUGAAAGCCCGGAGCUCAACUCCGGAACUGCCUUUAAGACUGCAUCGCUAGAAUUGUGGAGAGGUAAGUGGAAUUCCGAGUGUAGAGGUGAAAUUCGUAGAUAUUCGGAAGAACACCAGUGGCGAAGGCGACUAACUGGACACGUAUUGACGCUGAGGUACGAAAGCGUGGGGAGCAAACAGG
rnacentral:rRNA from 1 species